rnacentral:rRNA from 1 species
UUCCGGUUGAUCCCGCCGGACCUGACUGCUAUCAGAUUGAUACUAAGCCAUGCGAGUCAUUGUAGCAAUACAAGGCAGACGGCUCAGUAACGCGUAGUCAACCUAACCUAUGGACGGGAAUAACCUCGGGAAACUGAGAAUAAUGCCCGAUAGAACACUAUACCUGGAAUGGUUUGUGUUCCAAAUGAUUUAUCGCCGUAGGAUGGGACUGCGGCCUAUCAGUUUGUUGGUGAGGUAAUGGCCCACCAAGACUAUUACAGGUACGGGCUCUGAGAGGAGUAGCCCGGAGAUGGGUACUGAGACACGGACCCAGGCCCUAUGGGGCGCAGCAGGCGAGAAAACUUUGCAAUGUGCGAAAGCACGACAAGGUUAAUCCGAGUGAUUUGUGCUAAACGAAUCUUUUGUUAGUCCUAGAACCACUAACGAAUAAGGGGUGGGCAAGUUCUGGUGUCAGCCGCCGCGGUAAAACCAGCACCUCAAGUGGUCAGGAUGAUUAUUGGGCCUAAAGCAUCCGUAGCCGGCUCUGUAAGUUUUCGGUUAAAUCUGUACGCUUAACGUACAGGCUGCCGGGAAUACUGCAGAGCUAGGGAGUGGGAGAGGUAGACGGUACUCGGUAGGAAGGGUAAAAUCCUUUGAUCUAUUGAUGACCACCUGUGGC